AGGGCCUCCGCUGGCGGCGGGAGCGGGACGGGCGGAGGAAUGCGAGCUGAGGAACGGAAUCAGGUUCUAAGAGUGUUGCUCUCUGUUCCCCUCUCACUUGAAUUGCUCAUCCGAAAAUCCUCAAGAUCUGGGAGUCGGGUGGACCAGGAGAUUCUGAAAUUACAGGCAAAAUCUUGUAUUUGCCUUUACCUAGUUUUUGAGCGCAAAAGGACCCUUGCCCUUUACAAUAUUUUCUAAGAGGCCUCUCGGAUUUCCUCAUCACCAACCCCAACCAGGUUACUAACUCGGAACUGGUGUUCAAAGAGACUGUUUCUGUUAAACCCAUUUUGUUGCACAAGAGAAGAGCCCCUUCCUUUCAACUUUCCAGCUGGAACCAAGACCAGACCUUUCAAACAAGCCACUUUCAGUAAACGCAAAACAGGAACUAUGUGUCCCAGGCUGGUCUCAAAAUCUUGAGCUCAAGUGAUCUUCCUGACCCAGCCUCCCAAGUCGCUGGGAUUACAGGUGUGAGCCACCAUGCCUGGCCUGAAAAUAGAAUAUUUGGAAAUAAAAUGAUAAAUUCAAUAAACGAAAUCCCCAAGAUUGGAGGAGACCCUAAACUGAAUGAAAACAGAAAUUAACUCAUGUUACAAAUGAACAACAAAACUGUACUGAAGGAGAAGUGGUAUGGGAAUAGCAAUUAUGACAUUAUAUUGUGCAUAUUAUAGAAUUAAGCAAAUGACUUAUAAAAGAAUGUGGAAGCUAGAGUUCUCACUGUAGGAAAAAAGUAGAUUUAAAUAUGAAUUAGGGAAUACAAAGGAAUCUUAGAUGGGUGGAACUGGUGUUAGAGGCAUCAGUAUAAACACAUAAUUUCAUAUACAUCUGUAGAGAUAGAGCUAGAGGUUUGGCCUCUGUGUGUUGAAGGCUUAGAAGAAAUGACACAAUGUAACAAUGAGCAGGCUUGGUACCAAUAUCUUGGUUUCUAAAUAUUAUUCCUCACAACAAAGAAACAGCUUCUUAGAGAAAUGGAUGACUUUAGGGCUGGAACAGGGAAAGUAUAAGCUAAGCUUAAAAUAUCCUGUUGUGAUAGAAAUUAAGGAAGUCCCCUGCCACCCCCAACACCCCAGCAAAAUGAUGGGAAUAUGUCAAAAAACACAGGAGGAAGUUCCAUUUCCAAUUAUGGCUGAGUAAUUCCCAUCACACCAAGUCUUCUGUAAAUAAGAAUGAUAUACUCAGAGCAAAAUAUUAAAGAACAAACAAAAACUACCUGAAGGCAUUAGCAAACAACAGGAGGAAUAUACUGCACAGAGGUGGGUACCUGGAAGAGAAGAGGACUGAAUGGGUUUCCUGUGUUUUUACACCUUUUAGUCUAAGGGAAGUCCAAAGUCUGCAAAGUGAGUGGUUAAAACAAAGCUGGGGGUAGUGGUGUGCGCCUGUAGUCCCACCUACUCAGAAGGCUGACGUGUGAGGAAACCCUGAGCACAGGAGUUCAAGGCUGUAGAGCACUAAGAUUGUGCCUGUGAAUACCCACUGUAUUCCAACCUAGGCAACACAGUAAGACGUCAUCUCUUUUUUUUUUUUUUUUUUUUUUUUUUGAGACAGAGUUUCACUCUGUUGCUCAGGCUGGAGUACAGUGGCGUGAUCUCAGCUCACAGCAACCUCUGCCUUCCGGGUUCAAGUGAUUCUCCUGCCUCGGUCUCUUGAGUAGCUGGGACUACAGCUAUUUUUAGUAGAGACAGGGUUUCACCCAGCCCGGGCUGGUCUUGAACUCCUGACCUCAGGUGAUCCGCCCGUUUCAGCCUCCCAAAGUGUUGGGAUUACAGGCGUGAACCACUGUGCCCGAGAUCUUAUCUCUUAAAAUGACAACAACAACAACAAAAACAAAACAACAAAAACCCAAACCCCGCAGUCUUACUAGCUUGAAUUGUUCAGGGCAACCCCAGCAGGUGGAAAUAAUGGGAGGAAAUCCUAUCAAAAUAAGAGCCACAGAGAGGGAGGCUCAAAUUCUGUGCAUAAACUAUAGUCCCAGCUACUCGGGAGUCCCAGUACCUGUAGUCCCAGCUACUUGGGAAGUUGAGGUGGGAGGCUCACUUAAGCCCAGAAAGUCAAGGCUGUAGUGAGCUGUGAUGAUGCCACUGCACACCAGCCUGGGUGACAGAGUGAGACCCUGUCUCAAAAAAAAAAAAAAAUUCAGAACUUUAAAAAAUCACCCUGAAAAGAAACCCCAUGCCCUUUUAUUAUUUUUUUCACUUUUUUGACUUUAUUAUUUUUUCUUUAAAACAAUAUUUAUUCUUUUUUCUUGAGGCUGUGUGUCACUAUGUUGCCCAGGCUAGUCUUGAACUCCUGGGCUCAAGCCAUCCUCCUGCCUCAGCCUCCCAAAAUGCUGAGAUUACAGGUGUGAGCCACUGUGUCUGGCCAAGAAACCCCAUGCCCUUUAGCCAUCAUGUUCCAUUCUCCCCAUCACCCCAGCCCUAGGCAUUAAUAAUCCACUUUUUGCCUCUAUAGAUUUGUCUACUCUAGACAUAUCAUAUAAAUGCAGUCACAUAUGUGGUCUUUUUUGACUGACUUCUUUCACUUACUAUGUUUUCAAGGUUUUUGUUGUAACAUGUGUCAUUACUUCAUCCCUUUUUAUUGCUGAAUAACAUCUCAUUGUAUGGCUAUACUACAUUUUCUUUAUCCAUUCAUCCAUUGUUGAACAUCUCGGUUGUUUCCAAUUUUGGGCUAUUGUGUAUAAUGCUGUUAUGAACAUUUGUGUACACGUUUUUCUGUGGACAUUUGGUUUUUAUUUCUCUUAGGUGUAUACCUAGGAGUGGAAUUGUUGGAUUAUAUGGUAACUCUAUGAUAAGCCUUUCAAGAAAUUGCCAGACUAUUUUCCAAAGUAGUUGCCCCAUUUUACAUCUUCACCAGUAGUGAAUGGGGGUUCCGAUUUCUCCAUAUCUUCACCAUGAAUCUUUUUAAGAAAAUAGAUUAUUGACCAGAGGUCAGGCAUUCGAGGCCAGCCAGGCCAACAUGGCGAAAUCCCUCCUCUAAUAAAAAUACGAGUAUUAUUGGCCGGGCACAGUGGCUCAUGCCUGUAAUCCCAACACUUU